CGACGUGACCUGGCUAGCUAUUACAGUGGAGCUAAGUGUUAAGUGCUCAUUUAUAUAUUAAAAAUAAUAUGUAUAAGAAUAUGGACAGCUUAUGCGACAUGAAGAACGAUGAGAUGAUGCUCCGUUUUCCAUGUUGGGGAGACCUUCACAUGCAUGCUUCAAGAGAAGGUAAAAAUCUGAACACUGAAACUGAAGUGUAAGUGUCAACCACGUUCACCAGCACCCCACAUAUGAUCCGACAGCAGACCAGUGUGUCAUUAAAGAGAAGACCAGAUAUAUGGGCAGACACUGCCUACUGACAUGCAACCUGAGAAGGUGCAAACAUGCAAUUACUUUGACUUUGAAGUUUGGGGAAGAGGGACCCUUAAUCUUUACCAAAGGCCGUUGGAGAAGACGAGAUGAUGCCCAAAUGAAAAUGAGUGAGAACAUUGACCGAUGGAUGUGCAUUGACUGCAGAUUAUGGGGGAAGAGCUCAUCCUGAACGGGGAGUCUGGAAACGCAAUUUUGGUGCAGGCAUCAAUAUUGUGCUCAAGGGUGACUUCUCUGUUGAUGAACAUAGUUAAACAUGUGCAUUUGUGUAGGUUUAAUCAGUGCAGUAUGACCCAAGAACCAAAUCGACAGUGGAUGUUUACCCAUGUUUAAAUAAAAGAUGAAAUCGUAUUGAUGACUUGACCAGGCAAAAAAAGGCUUUUUGCCUGAAGUUCAGAGAGGUCAACAAGCACUUGAAAUGUCAUGUCAUCCAUUUUUGUGACACUGUUCAGCAAGCUCUGUGGAGGACGUCAUGCCCGUCAAUUCAUGGCCAAUAAAUGAAUUACCGUAUUUUUCGGACUACAAGUCGCUCCUGAGUAUAAGUUGAUCCAGCCAUAAAAUGCCCAACGAAGAGAAAAAAAACAUAUACAAGUCGCACCGGAGUAUAAGUCGAAUUUUUGGGGGAAAUUUACUUGAUAAAAUCCAACACAUAGAACAGACAUGUCCUCUUGAAAGGCAAUUUAAUAUAAAAAUACAAUAGAGAACAACAUGCUAAAUAAAUGUACAGUGUACAGUGCAUGAACAACGAAAUGUGAAUAUACUGUCCUACGCUACGGCCUGUCCUGGCUAUACAGCGAACUCGCAAAAGACAAUGCUGGACGUCCGUAUAAUUUGUUGAAUCAAUUUGGUCCUCGAUAGAAAACAGGUUCGCAUCAACGUAAAUAAAUGAUAAUUAGGUACUAUUAGUAAUAAGUAACAGGUUAGCAUGCGUUCGCUAUCAUUACCACAUCGUUCAAACAACCACACAACUGGCUCUAAGUGACCGAUCGCGGGUGGAAAACACACAACAACAACAGAAAAGAUGAUACACGCAGGCGUUGCCUCUGUAGAGAUGAUUUAAAAGCAUAAACAAUGAAAGUAGGUUCGCAUCCGUCUAUUCUCUCUAGCUAACUCGCCCACUCACUCACUCAGAGCUACGUAGCUGUCAGUCUUCUUCUGGCGUGUCACGUAAACAAGUGCGAGUGCGCCCUCACGUGGGCGUGAAAGCGCCACAAACUAAAUGCAUCCAUUUCAAGAUAAAAAAGUCAAUAAUACAAUUGAACAUACACUGCCAAAGGCAGAACGCGAACGUGGCCAUAGCUAUAAAGAGUUAUUCAGAUAACUAUAGCAUAAGAACAUGCUAACAACUUUACAAAACCAUCAGUGUCACUAAAAAACACCAAAAUAACAUGUGAAAUUAUAUCAUAAUGUGUUAAUAAUUCCACACAUAAGUCGCUCCUGAGUAUAAGUCGCACCCCCAGCCAAAAUAUGAAAAAAACCGCGACUUAUAGUCCGAAAAAUACGGUACUUAUUUUAUACCAUGAGACUUCAGGUCUGAUUUCCUGGCAAAAGACUAUUUUCACUGUAGCCUUUUUUCCUGCACAAACAGGGUGUUCAAUGUCAACGGCGGCUGUUUAGUGUAAUAACUCGGUAAUGCCAUAUUGUCAUUUCUCUGGAGCUAUUGUAAUGUUUUAAUAUACUACAUUGAUAUAUGAUAGAAUGUAUUACAAAGGUUUCGUAUUUUUUUCACUUCGUAAAUGAUUAAAAGAAGACCAAAACAGUUGACUUUCAGUGGACAGCCUCCCUUAACCUAAAGCCCCAAAAUAAUACCAAUUUGUUGUGAAUGAUUGAUAAUGCAUAUGUUCCUCACAUUGAGAGGUUGGUGUUUCGAAUUUGGGCUCCAGCUUUACUCUGUUGAUUUGGCAAAUUAACCCUGUGCUUGUUUGAGAUUAUUGUAGAUAGUAGUUUGUCUAUAUGUUUGGCUAUCAGAUCAGGGUCUACCAUGUCUCCCAGGGAAGAAUCCAGUUCACCGGUGGUAGAGAAAAUGGCUGAGUGGAUGUUGUUUUUCUACCUAUAGAUGGCAGUAGCAACACAUAGUAGAGCUGUUUUUUCUUUAUGAAGCAGGAGAGCCUUUUUGCUUGGGGGUGGAGAUGUUUCCGACAAUUUCGACAUCAAGCACGCUGGAGUGUGCUGGUAGCUAUUGUUGGCCAUCUUAUUAAACUACUUGCCUGGAUACAGAGUGUUUCGUUUAGAUGGGUGAACGGGGUCAUUGUGUUUUCAAUGGAAGGCAGCAUGUCUGCUGAGUGUGUCCAAAUAGAGCUCUAAUUAUUUUCCCCUGUCUGCAGCUGUUUUUCUCGCAGCUCUCAGGCUUGACGUUGCCAGGAAACGGGAGGAAAUUGUAAUGCCGGUUCGCCACUGGAAAUACAACGAGGAGAGUGAAAAGCCAAUGCAAGAUGCUGGAGUUUCCAUGAGCUCAUGCAUACAGAAUGUCUUGCACAGUCAUAUGUAUGUGAACACGUGCACUGAAGAAGUGGCUUGUGUUUAUAUGUGCUUUGGAAAGAAAGUAUGAACUGUAGAGUUCCAAUUACAACAGAAUUUGCUGGCAAUAUGGCUGCAACAAACUUCACUUGCUUUGUAAAUAUUGGCCGCUGAGGCUUGGUUCAUACCGUCGGCCUUAAUGAAGAAAUCCAAUUUUUUUCGUGUUUUUCUGACUUGAGUGAGGCAUUAACUUGACGGUCUGAAUGGGACAAGUCGCAUAGAAGUGGACCAUUUCAAAUACGAUCUAGGUCACUUUCAUAUUUGGUUAAAAACGGAUCUGGGCCACAUUUUUCCAGAAUGUGGCUGCGGUCUGAACUCUCAAGGUGAUAUAAUCGUAACAAAAUGAUUCUACAAAAUUUGAUAGAAAUAAAAAUGAUCACGCUGUAAAGGAGGGAAAUCAGAGACAACUCAAAAAUAAAAGUGAAAAAUGAUGCAGCAGACUGGUCCAUUCGGUGAUAAUGUCAUUAACAACUCAAAUAAUUCUCAGUAGUAUGCGUGGCCCACACAUGCUUGUCCACAUGCCUGACAAUUUCAGGGGCAUGCUCCUAAUGAGAUGACUGAUGGUGUCCUGGGGGAUCUCCCAGAUCUGGACCGGAGCAUCACUGAGCUCCUGGACAGUCUGAGGAGCAACUUGUCGGUACUGGAUGGACCUAGACAUAAUUCCCAAGAGGUGUUCUAUUGGGUUUAGGUCAGGUGAACGUGGGGGCCAGUCAAUGGUAUCAAUUCCUUCAUCCUACAGGUACUGCCGGCAUACUCUAGCCACAUGAGGUUGGGCAUGGCCGUGGACCAGGAGGAACCCAGGUCCCACUGCCCCGCGUAGGUUUCUGACAAUGGUUCCAUGGAUUUCAUCCCAAUACCUAAUAGCAGUCAGGGUGCCAUUAUAUAACCUGUAGAGUUCUGUGCUUCCUUUCAUGGAUAUGCCACUCCAGACCAUCACUGAUCCACCACCGAGCCGGUCAUGCUGAAUGAUGUUGCUUGCAGCAUAAUGUUCUCCACGGCAUCUACAGACCCUUUCAUGUCUGUCGCAUGUGCUCAGGGCUCUCAUCAGUGAAAAGCACGGGGUACCAGUGGCGUAGUUGCCAAUUCUGGUGGUCCAUGGCAAAUAUCAGUCGAGCGCUACGAUGGUGGGCAGUAAACACAGGGCCAACUACAGGACAUCGGGCCCUCUGGCCACCCUUAAUGGAGCCUGUUUUUGAUUGAUUGGUUUAGAAACAUUUUUUCUUUCUUUUUGUAGAGCUCUGGCAGUGCUCAUCCGUUUUCCUCCUUGCACAAAGGAGCACAGACCGAUCAUGCUGAUGGUUUAAGGACCUUCUACGGCCCUGUCCAGCUCUCCUGGAGUAACUACCCAUCGCCUGGAAUCUCCUCCAUGCUCUUGAGAUUGUGCUGGGAGACACAGCAAACCUUCUUGCAACAGCAGUUAUUUAUGUGUCAGUUGGACUACUUGUGAAACUUCUGUAGCGUCCAAGUACCGCACCAUGCUAUCACUAGAGAUGUUAAACCAAGCCAGAUGAAAAACUACAGCAGUAGAAACUCGGCUAGGAAAAAAUCAGCCCCAAAAAAUGAGGGGGAAUAAAGUAUCGGUGGCUUCAAUCUGGAAAACCUUUCCUUUUUUUUUUGCCCGUUUUGUUUUUGCUCCUCCGAUGCACCUAUUGUUGAUUUUAUUAACAACAAAGCAGCUGAAACUGAUUCACAACCUCCUUUGCUACCCAAUUGAACAGAUCAAUAUCCCAGAGGUUUGACUGAUGCUUUGAUCCAAGAGUGUUCCUCUAUUUUUUCGAGCACGACAGGGUGACCCAAAAAAAAGUUCACAGUGCCAUAAUACAACUUAAAGAGCAUACGACACCAGAAAAAAAGUCUUAAAUUGCAUUAUUAUGUGAAUUAGAAUCAUAUUUUGAGACGAUUCGACCAUAUACAACAAUUUAGCAAAGCACAGAUGACGAGAAAUUAGUCUUUUAAUCUGCCGGUUAGCCACGCCUACAAUUAUAGGGCUUUAGCGUCCCCAACAGGUGGAUGACGUCAGCGGUAGACUAGGCUCAUCGGUUUUACUAUUCAGCCCAUUGAGGGGGAAUUGUUCAGAACGAGGAAAACGAGACGAAGAGAGCUGCAAAAUGUCAUUGUUUCAGUCUCUCUACUCCCAAUAUUUUUACAGGAUAUUCUUUUUAUCCAAGUAUUUUCCCCAAUAGCUAUAUAAAUGGCUUGAGAAGGACCAGUCAGCCCGUCGAGGGGGAACUAUUCACAAUGAGGAAAACGCGACGAAGAGAGCGGCAAAAUGUCAUUGUUUCUGUCUCUUUACUUCAAUAUUUUUACAGGAUAUUCUUUUUAUCCAAGUAUUUUUCCCCAAUAGCUAUAUAAAUGGCUUGAGAAGGACCAGUCAGCCCGUCGAGGGGGAACUAUUCACAAUGAGGAAAACGAGACGAAGAGAGCGGCAAAAUGUCAUUGUUUCUGUCUCUUUACUUCAAUAUUUUUACAGAAUAUUCUUUUUACCAAAGUACUUUCCCCAAUUGCUAAAUAAAUGGCAUGGUCAUGACAAAUAACUUGUGCUAAAUGGAAUAUAAAAUAAUAAAAAUCCAUUUAUUCAAGACGACAUGGCAAAAUUACUCCAUAAUGGUCAAAACAGUCGACUUUACCUUUACUGUCACACCUGCCGAACGAUAUUUUAUGACACCUAAAUCGGACAUAUGUCAUUUCCCUUCCCCGGCUUCGGAGAAUGUAAACAGACCAGAAGGAGUGACAGCUAGCCGACAUGCUAACCCGAACCGAGGGAUGUUUCAAAGUCUUCGAAGUGGAAAAUCACACAUAACUAGCCUGGAUUAUUUGACAUGACGACCCGGUUGUCGAGUUUCUUUGUGGAUCGGCAAACCGCCCGGCGGAGAGCAAUUUACAGUUCGUUCCCUGGAGGAGGGUGGCUGGAAUUGUUGUGUAGCUAACGUGCUAACAGCUAACUGCUAAUGAGCGUGAGGAUAGCUUUUCACAUGCCUAUCAAUGAUCAAACGUAAGUAGUCCUUUAUUUAAAGGAAUUUUAUAGUGUUUACUUUGUAAUCACUGUAUUCGUAUUUGACAUAAUACAAAACAAGAUGUUUACUCAAUUCCUUGUAAGUCCAAUGGUCCCACAGUAAAUAUCCACGGUGAAUGGGAACCUUUUGAAACUCCAAAAAGGCACAGACGCCUCUCCCGCAUACAGAAUGAUUUUUCUGCAGCCGUUUGGCUGGCGUGAUGCAAAAAAUAAAAGUAUUAAUCCGCAAAAUCAGCUGAAUCCUUCGUCCUCAUACACAACAGUACACUGUAGCGUGAAGAGGACGUCUUCUACCGUACACGUCACAGCGCCCUCCUCCUCAAUGCGAGACCGAAGCCGGAAGUCACUCAUUUUCCUGGCGCGGGAUUCAAAAAACUAAAUAAAUAUAGCAAUCGCUUCCACACACAUCCAAGCGGUCCAUAUCAUUCAGGAGCAUAAAAUACCGCGUGUAUUAUGAAAUAAACAUGCUUUUUCGUGUCACAAGCACUUUAAAUGCCAUUUUUAUUCAGUUUAGAAUUAGAAUUUAAUCACAAAUUAUACAUUAUUGUAAAGAACAUGUACAGUACACUCUAUUUUUCAAUGUGUCCUCCCUUAAGUGUCACAACAGCCUCCAGGCGCCUGCGGAACGCUUGACAGGUCUUCUUUAUGUAGGAUGCUGUCAUCUUUUCCCAAGAUCUAACAAUGGACCUCUCCAAGGCUGCCACAGAAGUUUGUGGCUUCUUACAGGCACUGUCCUCCACAGUUGCCCAUAUGCUAUAAUCCAGGGGAUUGAGAUCUGGACUCUAGGGUGGCCACAUAUCACCUUGUCAAUCAACUUUUUGGUCCGCACAGAUCGGCACUUCCAGACCCAGGUUUUCGUGAGGCUGUUCCAGUAUCUUUCAGCUUCUUUUUAACUUUGUAGACUGCACAUCUGGAUAUUCUCAGAUUUGCUGCAAUCUCAGUAGGUGUCAGACCGGCACGCAGCAAUUCAGGUACAGCUAAAGUUUUCUUCAUUUUCAGCAGAAGCACAGGAAUUGUAGAGACGAGAGAUUACCAGCUGCAUUGAGUGACCUUAAUGAAUCACUUAAGCAUGACAACCUAUUUAGAUAUGUUUCAAUGGCUUUUAAACAAGCAGUCAACUGAGUGUAAACUUUUUUUGGGGUCACCCUGUAUAUUGCUUGGAAGCCUGGCUGUUUGGCACCUACUGUACUUCUUACUUGCCAUCAACAUUGAGUAUGACGUUUUGAAAUGAGAUUGGGAAAUAAGCCUACCACCGUAGAUGAGGGGAGGAGGUAUACAGGAAGCAUAUUAUUUCCCACAAUAGUAUUCAACAGCAGUAUAACUUCAACAUCCCGGAAGGUCAUGAGUCGCUUCCGGGUUUACGAACGCAGUUUGAAUUAUGACAAGUUAGUCAACUGACAGGCAAAUAUAAAAUAUCACGCCACGCCCUGAUCCACAUGUAAGGCCUAAAAUUUGUUUACAAGAAUUUACCUUUUUCUAUUUAAAUGCUCACAAUUGUUCCCACUUCUUGUUACAGUGCCCUCCAUAAUUAUUGGCACCCCUGAAAAAGUUUUUUAGCUUCUAAGUUCUAAUAUUUUUUUAAAUUCAAAUAAUAUGGGACCUUAGUGGAAAAAAAGAGAAAAAUCCAACCUUCAAUACAAGUGCAUUCAUUCAGUGGGGAAAAAAUCCCACAUAAAGAAAAAAUUAUUUGACAUCAAAUAAUGUGUGUCACAAUUAUUAGCACCUCUGGUGUUAAUACUUUGUGCAACCCCCCUUUUGCCAACAAAACAAGGUCUGAGGACUGAGAUGGCCAUGGGAGGAGCUAGGAUUUUGUGUCUGGUGAACCAUUUCUGUGUAGAUUUGGCCAUAUGUUUAGGGUCAUUGUCUUGCUGAAAGACCCAGUGACGGCCUAUCUUCAGCUUUCGGGCAGAGGGCAACAGAUUUUGAUUUAAAAUAUCCUGGUAUUUCAAAGCAUUCAUGAUGCCAUGCAUCCUAACAAGGUUCCCAGGGCCUUUGGAAGCGAAACAGCCCCACAGCAUCACUGACCCACCCACAUACUUCACAGUGGGUGUGAGGUGGUUUUCAGUAUGCGCAUAUUUCGUGGCACGCCAGACCCACUUAGUGUUUGUUGGCAAAAAGCUCAAUCUUGGUCUCACACAAAAAUACACACGGUCCCAAGCUUCAACUGGGACCGUGUGCUUUGGUCAGGGUUGGAUUUUUCUCUUUUUUCCAUUAAGGUCCCAUAUUAUUUGAAUUAAAAAAAUAUAUUAUAGGCUAAAAAAACACAUCUUUUUCAGGGGUGCCAAUAAUUAUGGAGGGCAAGAUAAAGAGAUAAAAGGCAGUGUAAAAUGAGUAGAGUGAAUUUUGGCAGCCUUUGGAGCCUUUUUAUAAUUGGCUAAAGCUUUACAAUCUCCCUACGAUUAAAAAUAUCAUGGGAAGCAAUGUGGGGAAGCAAGGUAGCAAAUUAUAUUUUCUCAACACCUUAUUUCCCAACGCAGAGAACAUAUAUCAAUUGGUAGCACUACGCACAGUCAUGGUUCUACUUCCCAUCAUGCAUUUGGGAUGGCUACAGUAUCAGUUACUGAAAGCUCAACAAAUACACUAGAUGGCAAUAUUUAGUCACAAUAUACAAAGUCACAAGUCUUUCUAUCCGUGGAUCCCUCUCACAGAAAGAAUGUUAAGGAUGUAAAUGCCAUCUUGAGGAUUUAUUGUCAUAAUAAACAAAUACAGUACUUAUGUACUGUAUGUUGAAUGUAUAUAUUCGUCCGAGUUUUAUUCAUUUUUUUCUUAAUGCAUUGCCAAAAUGUAUAUGAUCGGGAAAAAUUAUCGGGAAUGAUUGGAAUUGAAUCGGGAGCAAAAAAAAGCAAUCGGUUCGGGAAAUAUCGGGAUCGGCAGAUACUCAAACUAAAACGAUCGGAUCGGGAGCAAAAAAACAUGAUCGGAACCACCCUACUUUUGACGUAUGAACACUUUCAAUAUCCGACUUUAAAAUCAAGUCUUUUUCAUUCACCUUUUUCAGACUUUAUAGUCAUAAUUCUGAGACUAGAAUUCUGACUUCAAAUCUAAGAAUAUUGUCAGAAAUCUGACUAAAGUCAUUUCUUUAAAGUCUGAGAAUAUAGUCAGAACUCUCAAUACUUUUUACAAAUGCACCGAAUUGUUAAUUGUUAUUGACUCCACGCAAACGCCAUAACUCUGGGGAAAAAAUUUUCACGUCAGAUACAUUCAAAUCCCAAUGUAUUCGUUAGAAACGUUGGUUGAAAAUGAAACGUCUUGGUUACUAGUCAUGUGACCUUCCCUGCUUUGAUACGCACCGCACAAAUAGCAAACCGCACGCAGGCUAUUUUUUUAGACCGUGACGUCGCAUCGUAAAGCGGAAGUAGGACAUUAUAUACACGCCCUCUCAUGCAAACCAUUAUAUUUCGGCCUUCUUUCUCCGGUAAUCUUUCAAAAACUGACAUGCCGAUUAUUCACUGCUACUAUGGAACUUGUAGAAACGACUCUAGACAUUACGACAUAUAAAGGAUGUUUUCUUCAUGCUCUCCCGGAAACAAAAAUUUUGAAGAAUGGUGCGACUAUGCUACUAUGGCGCGGACGUCUAAAAGACCAGUUUAACGCCAGCAAAGUGAAGCCGUUCACGUUUCAUAUGCAGUAAACAUUUUGUUUGGGCCAAGAGGUAAGCCAUUCUGAUAUUUUGAGUUAUUUUUCUAGCGUGGCGUUUUUCGUGCUGAUUCUGUCUGAUAAUGAAUGACCUGAGGAAAAUAAAAAAGUGGUAUCUGACUGCCAACGUUGUUACCUUUUCUGUCGUAAAGAAACAACUUUAGUAAGGGGGAAGUGUAAAUAAAUAGAAUUAAGAUUUGUUAUUAAUUAAAAAAUGAAGUGUUCGUUGGCUGUCAACGAAGUAACAUUUGCGAUCGCUACACAAAACCGCAAUGUCCACCAAAUGAACGGUCAGAGACGUACGAAAGAUGGGGCUUAUGGUAGUAAAGGAUAGAUUGUUGAAAAAGGAAUGUCAUUGUCAGUGGCGCAAGAAAAAGGUGUCAAUAAAAAAGCUACGGGAAGCUUAGGUCGGCUCGUUUUUUCCCCCCGUCUUUUUCAGCCGUCAACACUCAAGCCAUCUCUUUAACUGAACAUUUGUAUGUUCUUCCACAUCUUUAACAGUGAAUUUGGCACCAGGGACAUCAUUUUCGGACAGAAUUGGUAGGUUUAGCUCUGUAAACAUCUCCGUCGUACUCUAUUCCCAUUCAUUUCCUAUUGGGAAAAAACAAGAGCUUGUCCCCCCUUAGCUAACAGCAGAGCCACAUAAGCUAACGUCAUAAAUAUUAAUG